GAUCGACUGGUGGCGUUCAGCAGCGGGUAAGUACAGAUCUCAAGAUUGAAGGAUUUCCUUUCGCUGACACCUUGUGUUUUCUCUCUCCCCCUGGACCGGGCUGGAGUCAUGGAGGGGGAAGCAGAUUGCCUUUGAUAAUGACUACGAGGUCAAUCAGCAAACAAAAUUUGAAAUUAACUGUUAGCCUGGACAAGGGCUACGGUAUCCUGUUCAU